rnacentral:rRNA from 1 species
UACGGAGGGUGCAAGCGUUAUCCGGAUUCACUGGGCUUAAAGGGUGCGUAGGUGGCUUUGUAAGUCAGUGGUGAAAUCUUAGAGCUUAACUCUAAAACUGCCAUUGAUACUGCUUAGCUUGAAUCAAGUAGAGGUGGAUGGAAUAUUACAUGUAGCGGUGAAAUGCUUAGAUAUGUAAUAGAACACCGAUUGCGAAGGCAGUUCACUAUGCUUGUAUUGACACUGAGGCACGAAAGCGUGGGGAGCAAACAGG